rnacentral:rRNA from 1 species
GACGAACGCUGGCGGCGUGCCUAAUACAUGCAAGUCGAACGCUUUGUCUUUCAUCGGAGCUUGCUCCACCGAAAGAAAAAGAGUGGCGAACGGGUGAGUAACACGUGGGUAACCUGCCCAUCAGAAGGGGAUAACACUUGGAAACAGGUGCUAAUACCGUAUAACACUAUUUUCCGCAUGGAAGAAAGUUGAAAGGCGUUUUUGCGUCACUGAUGGAUGGACCCGCGGUGCAUUAGCUAGUUGGUGAGGUAACGGCUCACCAAGGCAACGAUGCAUAGCCGACCUGAGAGGGUGAGCGGCCACACUGGGACUGAGACACGGCCCAGACUCCUACGGGAGGCAGCAGUAGGGAAUCUUCGGCAAUGGACGAAAGUCUGACCGAGCAACGCCGCGUGAGUGAAGAAGGUUUUCGGAUCGUAAAACUCUGUUGUUAGAGAAGAACAAGGAUGAGAGUAAAA